rnacentral:rRNA from 1 species
GUAGUCCACGCCGUAAACGAUGUCGACUAGCCGUUGGGUCCUUCGCGGACUUUGUGGCGCAGUUAACGCGAUAAGUCGACCGCCUGGGGAGUACGGCCGCAAGGUUAAAACUCAAAUGAAUUGACGGGGGCCCGCACAAGCGGUGGAGCAUGUGGUUUAAUUCGAUGCAACGCGAAGAACCUUACCUACCCUUGACAUCCUGCGAACCCUUCGGAGACGAAGGGGUGCCUUCGGGAACGCAGAGACAGGUGCUGCAUGGCUGUCGUCAGCUCGUGUUGUGAAAUGUUGGGUUAAGUCCCGUAACGAGCGCAACCCUUGUCCUUAUUUGCCAGCGAGUAAUGUCGGGAACUCUAAGGAGACUGCCGGUGACAAACCGGAGGAAGGUGGGGACGACGUCAAGUCAUCAUGGCCCUUACGGGUAGGGCUACACACGUGCUACAAUGGUCGGUACAAAGGGUUGCGAACUUGCGAAAGUGAGCUAAUCCCAGAAAGCUGAUCUCAGUCCGGAUCGGAGUCUGCAACUCGACUCCGUGAAGUCGGAAUCGCUAGUAAUCGUGAAUCAGAAUGUCACGGUGAAUACGUUCCCGGGCCUUGUACACACCGCCCGUCACACCAUGGGAGUGGACUGCACCAGAAGUGGUUAGCC